GGAGAUGUGGGGCAGGGGAGGGAGAUGUGGGGCAGGGGACGGAGCUGUGGGGCAGAAGACGAAUCCAUAGGGCAGAAAGAGAAGCCAUAGUGUGGAUACGUGGGGAGAUGUGGGGCACAGCUGUGGGGCACAGAGGUGACGUGGAGCGGCCGGACGCUAUGGGGCGGAUAUGGGGCAGAUGGGGGGGGGGGGGGGGGGCCGCAGGGCGCCCCCCCGCCCCCGGGGCGGGCGGCCGCCGCCCCCCCCCCCCCCCCACAACCCCACACCGACCUCCGCACCGCCGCCGUGGGUCCGCGGCUCCGGCCCCGCUAUGGGGCAGCCCUAGAGAUGUGGGGCAGGCAGGCGGUUAUGGGGCGGCCCCACGGAUGUGUGGGGCGGAGGCGGCCGCUNNNNNNNNNNNNNNNNNNNNNNNNNNNNNNNNNNNNNNNNNNNNNNNUCCCCCCUCCGGGCAGCGAUUUCCUGCAGGAAGUGAUGCGGCCCCACAGAGCCCUGCCCCACAGAUGUGGGGCUGCCCCAUAGAGCCCUGCCCCAUAGAUGUGGGGCUGCCCCAUAGAGCUCUGCCUCAUAGAGCCCUGCCCCAUAGAUGUGGGGCUGCCCCAUAGAGCCCUGCCCCAUAGAGCCCCGCCCCAUAGAUGUGGGGCUGCCCCAUAGAGCUCAGCUCCUUCAGCCCCACAACCCCGCGUCCGCCGCCCCACAUUUCCCGCCCCGCGCUCACUUCCGUCCGCGCCGCGCCGCACAACUUCCGGCUUCCGGUGGAGGGGACGGAACUUCCGGUGGCGGCACUUCCGGUUGGCGGCGCGAUGGAAAAAUCGCGAGCAGCGCCACCGGGCGGCGCGGAACCGAACAGCGCCGAGCGGCCAAAAAACCCAAAUCCCAUAAAACCCCAAAUUUAGGGACCCCAAAAACCCCAAAUCCCAAUUUUAGGGACCCCAAAAACCCCAAAACCCCAAAAAAACCAAAUUUAGGGACCCCAAAUCCCACAAAAAUCCCAAAUUUAGGGACCCCCAAAACCCCAAAUCUCCCCAAAUCUUUAAUUUUAGGGACCCAAAAACCCCAAUUUCAGGAACCCAAAACCCCCAAUCCCCCCAAAACCCCAAAUUUAGGGNNNNNNNNNNNNNNNNNNNNNNNNNNNNNNNNNNNNNNNNNNCCCCAAAUCCCAUAAAAUCCCAAAGUUAGGGACCCCAAAAACCUCAAAUCCCACAAAACCCCAAAUUUAGGAACGCCAAAAACCCCAAAUUCCAUAAAAUCCCAAUUUUAGGGACUCCAAAACCCCAAAUCCCCAAAAACGCCAAAUUUAGGGACCCCAAAAACCCCAAAUCCCACGAAAACCCCAAAUUUAGGGAUCCAAAAACCCCAAAUCCUCACGAAAACCCAAAAUUUAGGGACCCCAAAACCCCAAAUCCCAUAAAAUCCCAAAUUUAGGGACCCCAAAAACCCCAAAUCCCACAAAAAUCCCAAAUUUAGGGACCCCAAAAACCCAAAUCCCACAAAAAUCCCAAAUUUAGGAACACCAAAAACCCCAAAUCCCACUAAAAUCCCGAUCUUAGGACCCCAAAAACCCCAAAUCCCACAAAAACUCCAAAUUUAGGGACCCAAAAACCCCAAAUCCUCACGAAAACCCCAAUUUUAGGGACCCCAAAACCCCCAAAUUCCCCCUAAAACCCCAAUUUUAGGGACUCCAAAACCCCAAAUCCCCAAAAACGCCAAAUUUAGGGACCCCAAAAACCCCAAAUCCCACGAAAAUCCCAAAUUUAGGGACCCAAAAUCCCCAAAUCCCAUAAAAACCCCAAAUUUAGGGACCACAAAUCCCACAAAACCCCAAAUUUAGGGACCCCAAAAACCCCAAAUCCCACUAAAAUCCCGAUUUUGGGACCCCAAAAACCUCAAAUCCCACGAAAAUCCCAAAUUUAGGGAUCCAAAAACUCCAAAUCCUCACGAAAACCCAAAAUUUAGGGACCCCAAAACCCCAAAUCCCAUAAAAUCCCAAAUUUAGGGACCCCAAAACCCCAAAUCCCACUAAAAUCCCGAUUUUAGGACCCCAAAAACCCCAAAUCCCACAAAAAAUCCCGAUUUGAGGGACCCCAAAUCCCCAAAAACGCCAAAUUUAGGGACCCCAAAACCCCAAAUCCCACAAAACCCCAAAUUUAGGGACCCAAAAACCC
rnacentral:lncRNA from 1 species